AAGAAAUUAGUUUAAAAAAAACAUUAAUUUGUCAAAUUAAAAUUAUCUUUUUUUAUUUCUUU
rnacentral:tRNA from 1 species